rnacentral:lncRNA from 10 species
CUCUGUCUCCUAAUCUUUUCCAUAGGCUACUGUUUUCUUUCUUUUCUCAUGAGGAAAAAUGAUAAAAGCAAAAUAAACAAAUUAGCUACCACUUAUGAAAAUCCCCAGGAAAUUCCUUUUCCAGAGUUCUCACUUACUAAUUUGGCUAACAUUACCAAUGGUAACAGACCCCACGUAUCCGCCACAAUUGCUGUGAGUUGCAGAGGAAAAAGACUGGGAGGAAAUCUUCACUUUUCUUCUGCAACAGCAACCAACAGAAAUGAAAGAGCCAGGGGAUUUUGCAAAAUAUCAACUCCUGAGAACUAAGAAUGAGAGCCUUUCCUGCCAAGCCCAUUCUGUGCCAGUCAUCAUAAAAUACUAUGACCCUUCCUUCCAGAAGAACAAUGCGCUGUGAUCUUUGGCUACUCAAGCUUUACAUCAUCCAUAUUACCCUGCAGCAGGAACAGAUUGAUGGGUAUUUUCACUGCCCCCAGAGAGUUACCCUCUAAUCCUUCAUUUGCUGCUCCAGCACAAUUGCACGGAAGCAAUAGCAGGGAUAGUUAGAGUGCAUACAAUUGAUUCCAAUCCAUCCAUCACUUAAACUACUGUCUAGGACAUCAGGAGGCCACAAAAAAAAAAAAAAAGAAAGAAAAAAAGAAAAACUUUUGAAUCAAGAAAUGCUUUGUCC